rnacentral:misc_RNA from 1 species
CUCCCUGGAUGGCUUGCAAAUCAUUUUCUAUCCUGCUUUUGCUUCUUCAGUCAAUUUUGCAGUUUGGUGUUUUGAAAGCUCAACAAGCAUAUGUGGACAACCAUCAACUGGACUGUAACAAUUGGACUCCUAGCACCAAAGGCUAUUUGUGUAAUGGCGUACAAUCAUCCUGCCAAUCAUACAUCACUUUCCGAUCAAACCCUCCUUAUAACUCUCCUGCCAAUAUCGGCUAUCUGCUGGGCACUCAAGAGGAAGCAACCCGCAUUGCCUCCAUGAACAAGAUCCCUUCCGAUGUGGCCACAAUACCUGCCCACAAGCAAGUGGUAGUCCCUGUCAAUUGCUCUUGUCAUAAACGCCUUUAUUACCAGCACAAUGCCUCUUACCGGCUCAAAUAUAAGAAUGAGACCUAUUUUACCUUGGC